rnacentral:rRNA from 1 species
UACGUAGGGUGCAAGCGUUGUCCGGAAUUAUUGGGCGUAAAGGGCUCGUAGGCGGUUUGUCGCGUCUGCUGUGAAAACUCGGGGCUUAACUCCGGGCCUGCAGUGGGUACGGGCAGGCUAGAGUUCGGUAGGGGAGACUGGAAUUCCUGGUGUAGCGGUGAAAUGCGCAGAUAUCAGGAGGAACACCGAUGGCGAAGGCAGGUCUCUGGGCCGAUACUGACGCUGAGGAGCGAAAGCGUGGGGAGCGAACAGG